rnacentral:rRNA from 1 species
AUUGAACGCUGGCGGCAUGCCUUACACAUGCAAGUCGAACGGUAACGGGUCCUUCGGGAUGCCGACGAGUGGCGAACGGGUGAGUAAUAUAUCGGAACGUGCCCAGUAGUGGGGGAUAACUGCUCGAAAGAGCAGCUAAUACCGCAUACGACCUGAGGGUGAAAGGGGGGGAUCGCAAGACCUCUCGCUAUUGGAGCGGCCGAUAUCAGAUUAGCUAGUUGGUGGGGUAAAGGCCUACCAAGGCAACGAUCUGUAGUUGGUCUGAGAGGACGACCAGCCACACUGGGACUGAGACACGGCCCAGACUCCUACGGGAGGCAGCAGUGGGGAAUUUUGGACAAUGGGCGCAAGCCUGAUCCAGCAAUGCCGCGUGCAGGAAGAAGGCCUUCGGGUUGUAAACUGCUUUUGUCAGGGAAGAAAUCUUCUGGGCUAAUACCCCGGGAGGAUGACGGUACCUGAAGAAUAAGCACCGGCUAACUACGUGCCAGCAGCCGCGGUAAUACGUAGGGUGCGAGCGUUAAUCGGAAUUACUGGGCGUAAAGCGUGCGCAGGCGGCUUUGCAAGACAGAUGUGAAAUCCCCGGGCUCAACCUGGGAACUGCAUUUGUGACUGCAAGGCUAGAGUACGGCAGAGGGGGAUGGAAUUCCGCGUGUAGCAGUGAAAUGCGUAGAUAUGCGGAGGAACACCAAUGGCGAAGGCAAUCCCCUGGGCCUGUACUGACGCUCAUGCACGAAAGCGUGGGGAGCAAACAGGAUUAGAUACCCUGGUAGUCCACGCCCUAAACGAUGUCAACUGGUUGUUGGACGGCUUGCUGUUCAGUAACGAAGCUAACGCGUGAAGUUGACCGCCUGGGGAGUACGGCCGCAAGGUUGAAGCUCAAAGGAAUUGACGGGGACCCGCACAAGCGGUGGAUGAUGUGGUUUAAUUCGAUGCAACGCGAAAAACCUUACCUACCCUUGACAUGUCAAGAAUUCUGCAGAGAUGUGGAAGUGCUCGAAAGAGAACUUGAACACAGGUGCUGCAUGGCCGUCGUCAGCUCGUGUCGUGAGAUGUUGGGUUAAGUCCCGCAACGAGCGCAACCCUUGUCAUUAGUUGCUACGCAAGAGCACUCUAAUGAGACUGCCGGUGACAAACCGGAGGAAGGUGGGGAUGACGUCAGGUCCUCAUGGCCCUUAUGGGUAGGGCUACACACGUCAUACAAUGGCCGGUACAGAGGGCUGCCAACCCGCGAGGGGGAGCCAAUCCCAGAAAACCGGUCGUAGUCCGGAUCGUAGUCUGCAACUCGACUGCGUGAAGUCGGAAUCGCUAGUAAUCGCGGAUCAGCUUGCCGCGGUGAAUACGUUCCCGGGUCU